rnacentral:rRNA from 1 species
UACAGAGGUCUCAAGCGUUGUUCGGAUUCAUUGGGCGUAAAGGGUGCGUAGGCGGCGCGGUAAGUCGGGUGUGAAAUCUCGGGGCUUAACUCCGAAACUGCAUUCGAUACUGCCGUGCUUGAGGACUGGAGAGGAGACUGGAAUUGACGGUGUAGCGGUGAAAUGCUUAGAUAUCGUCAAGAACACCUAUUGCGAAGGCAGCUAACUAGCUAAACUGACGCUGAGGCACGAAAGUGUGGGGAUCAAACAGG